rnacentral:rRNA from 1 species
GAUGAACGCUGGCGGCGUGCCUAAUACAUGCAAGUCGAGCGAACGGACGAGAAGCUUGCUUCUCUGAUGUUAGCGGCGGACGGGUGAGUAACACGUGGAUAACCUACCUAUAAGACUGGGAUAACUUCGGGAAACCGGAGCUAAUACCGGAUAAUAUUUUGAACCGCAUGGUUCAAAAGUGAAAGACGGUCUUGCUGUCACUUAUAGAUGGAUCCGCGCUGCAUUAGCUAGUUGGUAAGGUAACGGCUUACCAAGGCAACGAUGCAUAGCCGACCUGAGAGGGUGAUCGGCCACACUGGAACUGAGACACGGUCCAGACCCCUACGGGAGGCAGCAGUAGGGAAUCUUCCGCAAUGGGCGAAAGCCUGACGGAGCAACGCCGCGUGAGUGAUGAAGGUCUUCGGAUCGUAAAACUCUGUUAUUAGGGAAGAACAUAUGUGUAAGUAACUGUGCACAUCUUGACGGUACCUAAUCAGAAAGCCACGGCUAACUACGUGCCAGCAGCCGCGGUAAUACGUAGGUGGCAAGCGUUAUCCGGAAUUAUUGGGCGUAAAGCGCGCGUAGGCGGUUUUUUAAGUCUGAUGUGAAAGCCCACGGCUCAACCGUGGAGGGUCAUUGGAAACUGGAAAACUUGAGUGCAGAAGAGGAAAGUGGAAUUCCAUGUGUAGCGGUGAAAUGCGCAGAGAUAUGGAGGAACACCAGUGGCGAAGGCGACUUUCUGGUCUGUAACUGACGCUGAUGUGCGAAAGCGUGGGGAUCAAACAGGAUUAGAUACCCUGGUAGUCCACGCCGUAAACGAUGAGUGCUAAGUGUUAGGGGGUUUCCGCCCCUUAGUGCUGCAGCUAACGCAUUAAGCACUCCGCCUGGGGAGUACGACCGCAAGGUUGAAACUCAAAGGAAUUGACGGGGACCCGCACAAGCGGUGGAGCAUGAGGUUUAAUUCGAAGCAACGCGAAGAACCUUACCAAAUCUUGACAUCCUUUGACAACUCUAGAGAUAGAGCCUUCCCCUUCGGGGGACAAAGUGACAGGUGGUGCAUGGUUGUCGUCAGCUCGUGUCGUGAGAUGUUGGGUUAAGUCCCGCAACGAGCGCAACCCUUAAGCUUAGUUGCCAUCAUUAAGUUGGGCACUCUAAGUUGACUGCCGGUGACAAACCGGAGGAAGGUGGGGAUGACGUCAAAUCAUCAUGCCCCUUAUGAUUUGGGCUACACACGUGCUACAAUGGACAAUACAAAGGGCAGCGAAACCGCGAGGUCAAGCAAAUCCCAUAAAGUUGUUCUCAGUUCGGAUUGUAGUCUGCAACUCGACUACAUGAAGCUGGAAUCGCUAGUAAUCGUAGAUCAGCAUGCUACGGUGAAUACGUUCCCGGGUCU